rnacentral:rRNA from 1 species
GACGUAGGGCGCAAGCGUUGUCCGGAUUUAUUGGGCGUAAAGAGCUCGUAGGCGGCUUGUUGCGUCGACCGUGAAAACCCGUGGCUCAACUGCGGGCUUGCGGUCGAUACGGGCGGGCUAGAGUUCGGUAGGGGGAGACUGGAAUUCCUGGUGUAGCGGUGAAAUGCGUAGAUAUCGGGAGGAACACCAGUGGCGAAGGCGGCUUCCUGGCCUGUUCUUGACGCUGAGGCGCGAAAGCGUGGGGAGCAAACAGGG